ACACGACUCUCGGCAACGGAUAUCUCGGCUCUCGCAUUGAUGAAGAACGUAGCGAAAUGCGAUACCUGGUGUGAAUUGCAGAAUCCCGCGAACCAUCGAGUCUUUGAACGCAAGUUGCGCCCGAGGCCCUCCGGCCGAGGGCACGCCUGCCUGGGCGUC
rnacentral:rRNA from 1 species